UACGUAAGGUCCGAGCGUUGUCCGGAAUCAUUGGGCGUAAAGGGUAUGUAGGCGGAUAAGCAAGUUAGAAGUGAAAUCCUAUAGCUUAACUAUAGUAAGCUUUUAAAACUGCUUAUCUUGAGGUAUGUAAGGGAAAGUGGAAUUCCUAGUGUAGCGGUGAAAUGCGCAGAUAUUAGGAGGAAUACCGGUGGCGAAGGCGGCUUACUGGGCUCAUUCUGACGCUGAGGAACGAAAGCGUGGGUAGCAAACAGG
rnacentral:rRNA from 1 species